GGCUCUGUAGCUCAGACGGUAAAGCAGUGACAUGUAACCCGAAGGUCGUGGGUUCGAGUCCCACCUGAAUCA